GGCUUACCAAGGCGACGAUCAGUAGCCGACCUGAGAGGGUGAUCGGCCACAUUGGAACUGAGACACGGUCCAAACUCCUACGGGAGGCAGCAGUGGGGAAUAUUGCACAAUGGGCGAAAGCCUGAUGCAGCAACGCCGCGCGAGUGAUGAAGGCCUUCGGGUCGUAAAACUCUGUCCUCAAGGAAGAUAAUGACGGUACUUGAGGAGGAAGCCCCGGCUAACUACGUGCCAGCAGCCGCGGUAAUACGUAGGGGGUUAGCGUUAUCCGGA
rnacentral:rRNA from 1 species